rnacentral:rRNA from 1 species
CCUACGGGAGGCAGCAGUGGGGAAUAUUGGACAAUGGGGGGAACCCUGAUCCAGCCAUGCCGCGUGUGUGAAGAAGGCCCUCGGGUUGUAAAGCACUUUCAGUGAGGAAGAACGCCUGGUGGUUAAUACCCAUCAGGAAAGACAUCACUCACAGAAGAAGCACCGGCUAACUCCGUGCCAGCAGCCGCGGUAAUACGGAGGGUGCGAGCGUUAAUCGGAAUUACUGGGCGUAAAGCGCGCGUAGGUGGCUUGAUAAGCCGGUUGUGAAAGCCCCGGGCUCAACCUGGGAACGACAUCCGGAACUGUCAAGCUAGAGUGCAGGAGAGGAAGGUAGAAUUCCCGGUGUAGCGGUGAAAUGCGUAGAGAUCGGGAGGAAUACCAGUGGCGAAGGCGGCCUUCUGGACUGACACUGACACUGAGGUGCGAAAGCGUGGGUAGCAAACAGGAUUAGAUACCCCGGUAGUC